rnacentral:rRNA from 1 species
UUAAGCAUAUUACUAAGCGGAGGAAAAGAAACUAACGAGGAUUCCCUCAGUAACGGCGAGUGAAGCGGGAAUUGCCCAGCACCGAAUCCCUUGUUUUCUCUGGUCUCGACUGGGAGAAAUAUCAUUGAACAAAGGGAACUGUGGUGUUUGGGAGGGCUGUGUGCUCUGUGGGUAUGGAAGCAGCAAAAAAGUGUCUCUCGAAAGUUUGUCUAGAAAGGGUGGUAGACCCGUGGGGCUGUUCCUGCCUUGGAGCUUCGGUCGUCUCUAGAGUCGGGUUGUUUGGGAAUGCAGCCCAAAGUAGGUGGUAGACUCCAUCUAAGGCUAAAUAUGAUGGCGAGUCCGAUAGCGAACAAGUACUACGAAGGAAAGUUGAAAAGAACUUUGAAGAGAGAGUUCAAGAGUGCGUGAAACCGUUGAAAUGGAAACGGAAGGGGUUGCGACAAGAACCGUGGUGUUCAGCCUCUCGCUCCGGCGAGGGGUGGAUUUGACCAUGGUUUCGAAAAAAAGGCGAAGAGUUCUCUGUCGGCCGGUGAGUCUGCAGCAACGAUGAAAACACGCGUUUCGUGUGCUUUUGAAAAUGGCUGUGGAAGUGUUCUGGCCCGACGGGGGACUGAUUUCGUUUUGUUGGAAGCGGAGACCUUUCCGACCCGUCUUGAAACACGGACCAAGGAGUCUAACAUGUGCGCAAGUCUUGGGGUUUUUGUCGAAACCCAGUGGCGUAACGAAGGUGAAUUUAUUGUUGCACAAUAUGCCUGUCUGUUGUGAUAAACGUGAUGGAGCACGAGCGUGCAUGUUGGUACCCGAAAGGUGGUGAACUAUGCCCGAGUAGGAUGAAGCCAGUUGAAAGGCUGGUGGAGGUCCGUAGCGAUUCUGACGUGCA